GAUCAUGGCUCAGGAUGAACGCUGGCGGCGUGCCUAAUACAUGCAAGUCGAACGCUUCACUUCGGUGAAGAGUGGCGAACGGGUGAGUAAUACAUAAGUAACCUGGCAUCUACAGGGGGAUAACUGAUGGAAACGACUGCUAAUACCGCAUAAGCCCACGGCUCGGCAUCGAGCAGAGGGAAAAGGAGCAAUCCGCUUUGAGAUGGCCUCGCGUCCGAUUAGCUAGUUGG
rnacentral:rRNA from 1 species